GGCUCUGACAAGUUUUUAGAUAGAGCGGGAGAAGGGGAAGAAAGCUCAGCUCUUCUCUACCCCAAGGCUGUCUCUUCCUGUGGGAAUGUGUCCCCGCCUCUCAGUGUGGUGGAGGCAAGCGGCAGAAGGGGCAAAAUGGGCCGAGGUGGGGACCUAGUGUUUUCCCCGAUAUUACCAAGCAACGGAGUCCUAAAAUCUUCGGGGCUAGCCACAGAACGCUGUUUACCAGGAAGAAAACACUUGAAAAGGAGAAUAUUUGGCGGAAAUGCGCCCGGGAUUAACAGGAUUCUUAUUUGGAAGCCAAUCCUUUUCUUUAGAGCCGUCAUCUUCAGGAGAAAACAAGGAAUUCAGGCUUGCAAAUCAAUUUAUCUAUUGAGCUCAGUGGGGUUUGACGGUGGAGGUUCAGAACAAAUGUCUCUUGAUGGAGUAAGUUGUGAACAAGUGAAUGAGGAUAAAAUUCAUGUCAUCAGACUGGGCAGCAUCUCACUGAUCCCUGUGCCCUUCUUUUGAAGAGAGGCAUCACCAACAAGCUCACUAACAUCAAAGUUCUUCCCUAAAGAGAAAGCUUCCAACUUGGCUGCCAAGAGGUUUUUCUCCAGCCCUAACUCAGAGUGACCACUGUACUUGCCUAGUCAGACUGCUUAGGCUUCCUGAAGCUCACUGAAGGCAUCCCCUUCUAUGGGAACUGAAUCCUAGUGCUCCAGGGAUUCUGAUACCACCAGUCCAGGGCCAGAGGAAUCAGCCAAAGCAGGGCUCACUAAGGCGGAGCCAGACUUCAGAAUCUAACCCAUUGGGACUGUGUGAUCACAGCUACAGGCAGAGGAAAAUCUGAACGAAGGUAUACAGAGGGAAGGCAAAGUACAACACAGGAAAACGCCACCACCUGAGAGCCGGUGAGACGCCUGGACGUCCCGAGAAAGGAUGGAUCCCUCUUCUUCCUGCUGUUAGACUUCCAGCCUCUGGGAUUGUGCAAGAAAUGUUGUUUAAGCCACCUAGUACCUGGUGCACUGGCCCAGCAGCCCUACCUAAUGAAUGCAGUAAGUCAUUUAUAUCCUAGCAUGAAUCAGGUCCAAAGUGUUCCAAGAGAAGUUUCAAUUUAAAAGAACAGAGAAAAGGGAAAAAAGCCAAAGAAAUGUCACUUGCAGGGUGGAUUCGGGGCUUUCUGAAAAUUGGUGGGGAAAUACCGGAGGCUACAGGUUUUAUAGACACUACCCCGACUCCCGUGUUAACACGGGAGUGUGCAGUCCCAAGCAGCCAUGUAUAGUUUCUCCCCCUCAUCCUUCCUGUUCACUUCACCAUUCUUGUUUAGAUUUGGCAUCCUGGAGACCUAGCAGGGCCGGCAUCCCCACCCUCCAGCAAGCACAGCUCCCUAGAGCUGGGACUUGUGGAAACAGAAUGUUUUCGGUUUCUGGAAGGUAAAAUUAUCCCUGGAGUUUCUACCCCUUCAGGUGUCUCAGAUUCGUUUACAUGCUACCUCACUCCACGGAGGUCCCACAGCCUGCAGUAUUCUGCCUUUGUCCCCUAGGGAAGUUCACGCACACUCAAGUGUGAGGGAUUUGUGAGGAUCUGUGAUGAUGUGUGGAGCAGCUUUGCUGCCAUCCAUCCUUGUGUCUUCCUGGGAUGAACCUGAUUCAUUUCUUCAGCCCUUAUUUCCUAAGAUAUGCUGGGCCAGGCUCCCAGCCAGAUACUCGACAAACAGGAACACAUGGAACACUCUAGUCUCCAAGGAGCUCACAGUCUAUGUUAUAGUUACUCUUUCUUGCCGGCCUGUUUGGACUGAGAGACACCUCAGAGAUUAGUAGAAGCACACCUCUGGGUGUGUCUGAGAGGGCUCUGACUGAAUCAAUAGCUUUCAGGCAUGUCUAACCUGUGGACCAUGGGCUGCAUUUGCCCAGGUUAGCUAAGGAUACAGCCUAACAUGAAAUUUACUUAAGACAUUAUAUGGUGUGUGUGUGUGUGUGUGUGUGUGUGUGUGUGUGUGUGUGUGUGUGUGUGUGUGUAUGGUGAUAUUUUAUUUGUGCUGAAAUGUGAUUUUAUUUGUAUGUUAAUAAAUAAAGUUACCUGUGGAUCAGAGCUAAGAGCAAGUCAUUAAGCAGAAGUCUGGCAGUGGUAGCACACGUCCUUAAUCUGAUCACAUGGCAGGCAAAGUCUCUGUGUGUUCAAGGACACAGCCAGCAUGGUGACACACGUCUUUAAUCCCAGUACCAACCAUAGAGACCUGGAGGUCUGUAUAGACAGGCAGUGACGAGGAAGUCAUAUGGUUGGGUUUAGAACCAAUGAGAAGGCAGAACAGAAAGGCAAUAAAAAGACAAGACACAGGAAAAAGGUCUCUCUCUCAGGGGAAGGGUGGCAGCCAGUGGUAAGAUAAGGUGGUCUUAGCUCUUGGCUACUGCUCUGAUCUCUGGGCUUUUAACUCUA